GAGGCAGGAGGAGGCGCUCGGCCCGCGGCCUGACAGGGACUUAGCCCGCAGAGAUCGACCCCGCGCGCGCGACCCCACACCCACCCACUCAUCCACCUAUCCACUCCCUGCGCCGCCUCCUCCCACCCUGAGCAGAGCCGCCGAGGAUGAUAAACACCCAGGACAGUAGUAUUUUGCCUUUGAGUAACUGUCCCCAGCUCCAGUGCUGCAGGCACAUUGUUCCAGGGCCUCUGUGGUGCUCCUGAUGCCCCUCACCCACUGUCGAAGAUCCCCGGUGGGCGAGGGGGCGGCAGGGAUCCUUCUCUCUCAGCUCUAAUAUAUAAGGACGAGAAGCUCACUGUGACCCAGGACCUCCCUGUGAAUGAUGGAAAACCUCACAUCGUCCACUUCCAGUAUGAGGUCACCGAGGUGAAGGUCUCUUCUUGGGAUGCAGUCCUGUCCAGCCAGAGCCUGUUUGUAGAAAUCCCAGAUGGAUUAUUAGCUGACGGGAGCAAAGAAGGGUAAAGAGCCAAAUGCUGGGGAGGGAAAGGAGGUCCCAUUCCAGAGAAGAGUAUAUGUUUACUGUGGGUAACAGAAUUGUAGGGGAGUCUGUGCCUUCUCCCUUAGCUCUAGACUCCCCAGGAAGAUACCGUUUUGUAACAGGUUAUUUUUAGCCAGUAAGACAGGCCUGCUCUAGGUUAUAAUUAAAGCAGAUUGUUAUCACAUUA
rnacentral:sRNA from 1 species